GACGAACGCUGGCGGCGUGCUUAGCACAUGCAAGUCGAACGGAAAGGCCCUGCUUUUGUGGGGUGCUCGAGUGGCGAACGGGUGAGUAACACGUGAGUAACCUGCCCUUGACUUUGGGAUAACUUCAGGAAACUGGGGCUAAUACCGGAUAGGAGCUCCUGCUGCAUGGUGGGGGUUGGAAAGUUUCGGCGGUUGGGGAUGGACUCGCGGCUUAUCAGCUUGUUGGUGGGGUAGUGGCUUACCAAGGCUUUGACGGGUAGCCGGCCUGAGAGGGUGACCGGCCACAUUGGGACUGAGAUACGGCCCAGCCUCCUACGGGAGGCAGCAGUGGGGAAUAUUGCACAAUGGGCGGAAGCCUGAUGCAGCAACGCCGCGUGCGGGAUGACGGCCUUCGGGUUGUAAACCGCUUUCGCCUGUGACGAAGCGUGAGUGACGGUAAUGGGUAAAGAAGCACCGGCUAACUACGUG
rnacentral:rRNA from 1 species